rnacentral:rRNA from 1 species
UCGGGAUAACCACCUGGAAACAGAUGCUAAUACCGGAUAACAACAGAUGAUGCCUAUCAACUGUUUAAAAGAUGGUUCUGCUAUCACUCUUGGAUGGACCUGCGGUGCAUUAGCUAGUUGGUAGGGUAACGGCCUACCAAGGCGAUGAUGCAUAGCCGAGUUGAGAGACUGAUCGGCCACAUUGGGACUGAGACACGGCCCAAACUCCUACGGGAGGCAGCAGCU